GAUGAACGUUGGCGGCGUGCCUAAUACAUGCAAGUCGAGCGAAUGGAUUAAGAGCUUGCUCUUAUGAAGUUAGCGGCGGACGGGUGAGUAACACGUGGGUAACCUGCCCAUAAGACUGGGAUAACUCCGGGAAACCGGGGCUAAUACCGGAUAACAUUUUGAACCGCAUGGUUCGAAAUUGAAAGGCGGCUUCGGCUGUCACUUAUGGAUGGACCCGCGUCGCAUUAGCUAGUUGGUGGGGUAACGGCUCACCAAGGCAACGAUGCGUAGCCGGCCUGGGAGGGUGGACGGCCACACUGGGCCUGAGACACGGCCCAGACUCCUACGGGAGGCAGCAGUGGGGAAUCUUCCGCAAUGGGCGAAAGUCUGACGGAGCAACGCCGCGUGGGUGAUGAAGGCUUUCGGGUCGUAAAACUCUGUUGUUAGGGAAGAACAAGUGCUAGUUGAAUAAGCUGGCACCUUGACGGUACCUAACGAGAAAGCCACGGCUAACUACGUGCCAGCCGCCGCCGUAA
rnacentral:rRNA from 1 species